UAUCUCAGGGUUUUAAUCAAUUGGGGAGUAUUUACUGAACACCUCCCCAGUGCCAUAUCCUGUUUGACAUCUAUAAAUAAGUCAUAAAAAGUACAACUAAGCAAGAGUCUAUCAGUGGCAUCAAUCUUUGGUUUCCCCUUUCAUUUCUACUCAUUGGUCCUCGCUAACAACAGAUCUGAGAGGAGCAGCUGGUCAGAAGAAUGAACAAAACCCCAGCAAUUCCUCGGGCAGCCCAGGUUCACCCAUGCCAACAGAACCCGCACCUUCCCCUGCACAGGUGCACCUCGCCGGCCCUGCUGAGACGCUUCCCAGCAAGGGGGACAGAGAAGAGAGAAUGCCAAGAUUACUGGUGCAUUAAAUGAUUGAGAAAUGUGUGCCAUUUAAAGCCAUUUCACUUCCUGCCUGAUACCACAAAGAAGCUUUUUAAUAAAGUUAGCCUUGCCUCUCCUUAAUGUCACUGUGCGUCUGGCUUGUUUUGCCCAUUUUUUGUUUUCAAAACUGGAUAUGAUCACGGAACCCUUGUUCCCAUCGCCCGAAACAACCGCCUUUCAAGACAAUUAAUUUUGACAAAACACACCCGUGGUCCCCCUGGAGGAGGACAGGGAAGAGGGAUCAGGCAUGUGAGGAUGACCCGGUGGGAGCAGAAGACAGCAGGCAAGGGACACAAGUCAUCACCCUGUUCUGAAAGGGACUGGCUGCCAUCAGGUUCCCAGGGAAAGCCGAACCCUCAGGCUUUGGAGGGACAAUGAACAGUAAACAGCUCUCAGAGCAAGGGCCACCCUCCUUUGGCAUUUGCCCAUGCUUACCAAGCCCCGUGGUUGGCAUGUGACUUUUCCCAGCCACAGCCAGAACAAGAAACACUGUGAAUUGCUUUAAGAUUUCCCCAGGAGAAUUCCCAAAGCGGGGAGAACCCAUACCUUACAUCAGCACUGCUGUGGCCACACCGCACUGUUGCUACUAAAACCCAAGUUCUCCUUGUGACUUAUAGAAUAUCUAGUUUAAAAUAGUUAGAGCUGCUGCCUCUCCUGUCUCCCCUGUGCACCGGGUGCCCCACAUUUUGUGUCCAUCCUCCCAUUUAAACUUCUUGACAUCUUGCGAGAUAGAUGUUGUUGUCUCUCUUUACAGGUGACAAACAAAGGGAGGCAUAAGGAAGCUACGUGGUUUGAUCUGGGCCAACUGAUGACAAUGUCACAUCACGUGGUGUGCACCCAAGUCCAGGCUCUUGACUGCCCUCCACACCCUUCCAGGGCUUCCUGGUCUACCUCUCAAAUAGCCAUGUCUGAGAAAGACCCAGUCCCAACAGAGUGGCCACACGUGUUCUUUCAGUAUUUACUGAGGCUCUUCUCCUCUGCAGGCUCUUGAGAUGAAGGGAAAGUGUGUGUGGUGUGUCGUCUAGAACUGCGUUCUCCAGUAUGGUAGCUACUAGCCACGUGUGCCUCCUGAUCGCUUGACACUUCACUAGUCUGAAUUGAGACGUGUCAAGUGUAAAAUGCAAACCAGAUUUCGAAGACUUGGAAUGAAAAAGAGUGAAAACUG